CCUGAUCACCUGGGUUUGACAUCCUAGUAAUUUGUGGCUGGGUGUGUGUGAAGGGCCGGGUCAGGAGAACAGCUGGACUCUCCAGGGGAAACAGCUUAGCUACAGGCACUUCCAAUUCCGAAGGGCCCUGGAAAGUGCAAAAUGUUGACGGCGCUGUGUUUUCACAGAGAAGCAAAUGCUGGCACAAGGCUACCCUGCUUACACGACAUCGUGCGCCUGGCUGGGGUACUCAGAUGACACGUUGAAGCAGCUCUGUGCCCAGGCGCUGAAGGAUGGCUGGACCAGGUUUAAAGUAAAGGUGGGUGCUGAUCUCCAGGAUGACGUGCGAAGAUGCCAAAUCAUCCGAGACAUGAUUGGACUGGAGAAGACUUUGAUGAUGGAUGCCAACCAGCGCUGGGAUGUGCCUGAGGCGGUGGAGUGGAU
rnacentral:sRNA from 1 species